UUUCCUAUCCCAGCACAGCAGUUUAUUACAGUAAGGACAUAAUUUAGCAUCUCUCUGAACAUACCAUUAUUACUGAAUGUAUCGUAAUUAGUUCCUGCUUGCGAAGUACUUGGACACGGAGGAACAUAUUGUACGCGGGUGAGCCAGUGAGACCACAGGAACAGAGCGGUGGAGUCCUGAAAUCUGCCUUGCUCCAGCAAGCUCAGAGGUACUGCUCAGUCCCUGAUUCAGCACAAUCUUUUGAGCAUUUGCUUAAAUCCCACUGACAGUAAUGGCCCACAAGCACAUGCCGAAUGCAAGUGCCACAAGAAAAUACUCUGAUUGCGGUUCUCAGAGUCCCUCUAACAGCAGAUCCUUGAAAUGUGAAUGCAGCCCUGAAACUAAAAUUCAGUUUAUCACAUCCUGAAAAGCCAGGGAAAUGAGAAAUCUUCCUCUGAACGUGUUAAUGCUCAUUUUUGCUUUGAAGAACCAGCAGUUUUCAGAUUAUGGCUCUAGUGUUUUAGAACUUAAAGCCCUCGAGUCCAAGACAAAAACUAAGCUAUUGAUUAAAAGAAAAGCCAUGGAGAUGUUGAGAGUUCAAAUAAAGCAAUGAAGAUGCUCAAAUAUCGGCAUUUCUUUUGAGCUUUUUAGUGUCUUACUGACUAGAGACGCUCAAGACAAAAAUAACGUCUCCCUUGCUGUGAGCCAGCGGAGCUCAUAGCCCCUAGCUGACAAUCUUUUCCCUUAGCUCUACAGGCUACAACCACCACAUCCAACCCUUGGUGAAAUGAGUGUUAAAUCCACUGAAGAGUA